CCUCAAAUCAGGUAGGACUACCCGCUGAACUUAAGCAUAUCAAUAAGCGGAGGAAAAGAAACUAACAAGGAUUCCCCUAGUAACUGCGAGUGAAGCGGGAAAAGCUCAAAUUUAAAAUCUGGUGGUCUUUGGCCAUCCGAGUUGUAAUCUAGAGAAGUGUUACCCGCGUCGGACCGUGUACAAGUCUCCUGGAAUGGAGCGUCAUAGAGGGUGAGAAUCCCGUCUUUGACACGGACUACCGAGGCUUUGUGGUGCGCUCUCAAAGAGUCGAGUUGUUUGGGAAUGCAGCUCAAAAUGGGUGGUAAAUUCCAUCUAAAGCUAAAUAUUGGCGAGAGACCGAUAGCGAACAAGUACCGUGAGGGAAAGAUGAAAAGCACUUUGGAAAGAGAGUUAAACAGUACGUGAAAUUGUUAAAAGGGAAACGAUUGAAGUCAGUCGCGUUUAUUUGGACUCAGCCUUACCUCGGUUUGGUGCAUUUCCUUAUGAACGGGCCAGCGUCAAUGUUGUCCGUUGGAAAAGGGUUAGAGAAAUGUGGCUCCCUCGGGAGUGUUAUAGUCUCUAGUCGUAUACAACGGCUGAUAUUGAGUGGUACAGCAUGCUUCGGCGGUGCUUGUGCUGGCAUAAUG
rnacentral:rRNA from 1 species